rnacentral:rRNA from 1 species
CCUACGGGUGGCAGCAGUGAGGAAUAUUGGUCAAUGGCCGGAAGGCUGAACCAGCCAUGCCGCGUGAAGGUCAGUGCCCUAUGGGCGUUAAACUUCUUUUGUGCGGGAGCAAUAAUGGUCACGUGUGGCCAGACGAGAGUACCGUACGAAUAAGCAUCGGCUAACUCCGUGCCAGCAGCCGCGGUAAUACGGGGGAUGCAAGCGUUAUCCGGAUUUAUUGGGUUUAAAGGGUGCGUAGGCUGUGAGGUAAGUCAGCGGUGAAAUGCCCCCGCUCAACGGGGUGAAGUGCCAUUGAUACUGCCUUGCUGGAAUGCGGAUGCCGUGGGAGGAAUGUGUGGUGUAGCGGUGAAAUGCAUAGAUAUUAGGAGGAACACCAGCGGCGAAAGCGAUUCACUGGACUGUAACUGACACUGAGGCACGAAAGCGUGGGGAGCAAACAGGAUUAGAUACCCUUAUAGUC